AUAACUGUGGNAAUUCUAGAGCUAAUACAUGCCUCGAGUCUCUGACCCUUAGGGGGAAGAGNGCACUUAUUAGACCAAAACCGAUCGGGCUUCGGCCUNGUNCUGGUNAUGGUGACUCUGGAUAAUUAUGCAGAUCGCACGGUCCUGGUACCGGCGACGUAUCUUUCNAAUGUCUGCCUUAUCAACUUGAUGGUAGGUUACUUGCCUACNAUNGUUGUAACGGGUNACGGGGAAUCAGGGUUCGAUUCCGGAGAGGGAGCCUGAGAGACGGCUACCACAUCCAAGGNAGGCAGCAGGCGCGUAAAUUACCCAAUCCCGGNACGGGGAGGUAGUGACGAAAAAUAACRAUGCGGGACUCUUACGAGGCCCCGUAAUUGGAAUGAGUGCRAUAUAAAUCCUUU
rnacentral:rRNA from 1 species